rnacentral:rRNA from 1 species
AUUGAACGCUGGCGGCAUGCCUUACACAUGCGAGUCGAACGGCAGCACGGGUGCUUGCACCUGGUGGCGAGUGGCGAACGGGUGAGUAAUACAUCGGAACACGUCCUGUAGUGGGGGAAAGCCCGGCGAAAGCCGGAUUAAUACCGCAUACGAUCUACGGAUGAAAGCGGGGGACCUUCGGGCCUCGCGCUAUAGGGUUGGCCGAUGGCUGAUUAGCUAGUUGGUGGGGUAGAGGCCUACCAAGGCGACGAUCAGUAGCUGGUCUGAGAGGACGACCAGCCACACUGGGACUGAGACACGGCCCAGACUCCUACGGGAGGCAGCAGUGGGGAAUUUUGGACAAUGGGCGAAAGCCUGAUCCAGCAAUGCCGCGUGUGUGAAGAAGGCCUUCGGGUUGUAAAGCACUUUUGUCCGGAAAGAAAUCCUUGGCCCUAAUACGGUCGGGGGAUGACGGUACCGGAAGAAUAAGCACCGGCUAACUACGUG